UUCACUCUCUUCUUUAAAUCUAUAUUUUACUCUGGGUAAAAUAUUUAUUUUCUAUAUUUUACACUGACCUAAAUGUCCUGGCUUCCCAAGCAUGCAUCUGGGGCACUUCUCAAGUCCCAGAACUGUGCAGAAAGUGACUAAGCAGCGCAGUCACAUUUCAGAGUGGCAAGAUGGCUGCUCACUGAGGUGACCAGGUCUGCUGCAGGCCUGUUCUGCUGCAGAGCAGGGAUGGCAGCGUAUGGCUGCAUACCUGGGAAUUCCUGAGCCAGGAAAAACCCAUGGGAGUGCAGGCACCUGCCAGGAGCUGGCAGUUCUCAGAGAGUGGCUGAUAAAUCGUGGACAGGGCCGGGAAUAACGUCUGCCAUGCCUGUCUGUACAAGCUGCAGCCAACUGGGGAGGUAAACAGCUCCUCUGGGUGCUGAAGAGAGGCUGCAGUGCAGGCCUCAGCCUGCAGGGAGGCCCAGGCCUCCUGCGUAGGGGCAGGCACAGCUACACCUGCCAAAGCUGUGCCCAGCUGCUGCUGCUGCCUUGUCUUGGAGUGCUUGCAGAAUCAUGGUGCAAAUUUUGUUAUGUGAUCUACGAUGCCUGGAAAAGUUUGUAGCGAAGAUCACUACAUCUCACAAAAAGUGAAUAAAAAGAAGAGGAUUGGUAUUUCUGGAAAUGACUGUUCAUUGAAAAUUCAGCAACGUGGCCUUAUAAUCUUCAGAUAUGAAUUUUCUGUAAACGUGUUACUGAGUCCCUGUAGUAGAAGACUUGGAAGAAAUAAACAGAAAAGUAAUAGAAAUAUUGGAAUACAUAUUUUUCUUUAUUGUUUUUGAGGAACUUGAAAACAGGACAGGUCACCUUCAACUCAGUGUUUAAAGAGGCACUUAAGAAUCAGGAUCUCAUUGGCAUCAGUAUGUUUUACACCUGAACUUGAAAAGUGUCUCAAAGUCUUGUUAAUAUUUGAAAAAAUAUUUCAAGGACCUUAGAACAAAAGGAAUACUUUAAUAUUUCAAUGGAAAGAAGAAUAUCAUGUCUACUGCCAGAAAUAUGGACUGCGUUUUGAAAUUUGCAUUGUAUUAGACAAUAUUUGUAAUUCAGUGGGGGUAGUAAGGGCUCCCGUGGUGUAGCUGGACACUAGCAUCUGUUUGGACUUUCCAUUUGCAUAUUCAGACCACAAUUCUGCCAUAGCACAGAAGUAAAGCCUAGAAAAUAAUUAUUCAUAUGUUUCCAGUUGUAUCUUUUACCCAAACUUCAUUUUAUUUUUCUCCUAGAAUGCACAGACGGACUAAGGGUUGAUUAGCUCACUGGCCGUACUUCAUUAUGAAACAGUAUAUAAUUCAUGUUUAAAAAUUCUUUUCCCUUAGAUCCUUUCCCCGCUUGCCAAAAAGGAAAGUGUUUUGCACUUGUAUUUAUGUCUCUCAGAUAUAUUUUUGAUUUAUUUGAUUUAACUAUCCAGUGAAUUCUAGUCAACAUGGAUUUUAAAUACUAAUAAAAGUAAAGUUGAG
rnacentral:lncRNA from 1 species